rnacentral:lncRNA from 1 species
UUGUGCCCUCAGAUAGAGUUUCCUGGCUUUACAGAAUAGCAUGAAUUCUCUUCCAUUUCCCCUUUUCCCCAGAACCUUGUGAUUUCCACACCCAUGUCUCUUCCUCCAAGAGUUUCGGGAGUCCAGUCCAAAUAUUCCACCAGCAGUGUGUUGGCACCAGCACUGUCCACUCAGAAAGGCCUUGGACUUUCACCAGCUGUUUCUGCUGCCGUGGUGUGUUUCAGGAUGGGAAAUGAUGGAUAUAGAAGCCAGUGAGAGCUCAGAAUGCAAAUGCAGUAA